UACAGAGGAGCCAAGCGUUGUCCGGAUUGACUGGGCGUAAAGCGCACGCAGGCGGUUGCGCGCGUGGGGUGUGAAAUCUGGCCGCUUAACGGCCAGGCGCCAUCCCAUACGGCGCGACUGGAGCGAUGCAGAGGUCGGUGGAAUUGCCGGUGUAGUGGUGAAAUGCGUAGAGAUGUGGAGGAACACCGAUGGCGAAGGCAGCCUUCUGGGCCAACACUGACGCUCAUGCACGAAAAGCGUGGGGAGCAAACAGG
rnacentral:rRNA from 1 species